GACGAACGCUGGCGGCGUGCUUAACACAUGCAAGUCGAACGAUGAAGUUCCUUCGGGAAUGGAUUAGUGGCGAACGGGUGAGGAACACGUGAGAAACCUGCCUUUCAUUCUGGGAUAACACCGGGAAACCGGUGCUAAUACCGGAUACUCCGUCUUGGCGGCACCGCCGAGCCGGGAAAAAAUUUUGAUGAAAGAUGGUCUCGCGGCCUAUCAGCUAGUUGGUGAGGUAAAGGCCCACCAAGGCGACGACGGGUAGCCGGCCUGAGAGGGCGACCGGCCACACUGGGACUGAGACACGGCCCAGACUCCUACGGGAGGCAGCAGUAGGGAAUAUUGGGCAAUGGGCGCAAGCCUGACCCAGCGACGCCGCGUGAGGGAUGAAGGUCUUCGGAUUGUAAACCUCUUUCAGUAGGGAAGAAGCGAAAGUGACGGUACCUAAAGAAGAAGCACCGGCUAACUAUGUGCCAGCAGCCGCCGUAA
rnacentral:rRNA from 1 species